UGGCUCAGAUUGAACGCUGGCGGCAUGCCUUACACAUGNAAGUCGAACGGCAGCGCGGGAGCAAUCCUGGCGGCGAGUGGCGAACGGGUGAGUAAUACAUCGGAACGUGCCCAAUCGUGGGGGAUAACGCAGCGAAAGCUGUGCUAAUACCGCAUACGAUCUACGGAUGAAAGCAGGGGAUCGCAAGACCUUGCGCGAAUGGAGCGGCCGAUGGCAGAUUAGGUAGUUGGUGAGGUAAAGGCUCACCAAGCCUUCGAUCUGUAGCUGGUCUGAGAGGACGACCAGCCACACUGGGACUGAGACACGGCCCAGACUCCUACGGGAGGCAGCAGUGGGGAAUUUUGGACAAUGGGCGCAAGCCUGAUCCAGCCAUGCCGCGUGCAGGAUGAAGGCCUUCGGGUUGUAAACUGCUUUUGUACGGAACGAAACGGCCUUUUCUAAUAAAGAGGGUUAAUGACGGUACCGUAAGAAUAAGCACCGGCUAACUACGUGCCAGCAGCCGCGGUAAUACGUAGGGUGCAAGCGUUAAUCGGAAUUACUGGGCGUAAAGCGUGCGCAGGCGGUUAUGUAAGACAGUUGU
rnacentral:rRNA from 1 species